GGAGAAGGGUGUUGUGGUGAAAGGCUAUAUUCAUUUCCCGAGAAGAUGGAGUUGGCAAACCCAGAGAGGGGGAAAGCCAGACAUGUAGGAAGAAGCCCAGAGAAACAGUAGCAAGAGAUCUACUUAUCGCGGAGUCUUCACUGCAGUAGGUCAACUGCUGACACUCCCCUGUCAACUCUGCCUACACAUCUCACUCCGGUGGAGUACCAGAGUCAAUCGGAGAGUGCUCGGUGCUUGAUUUAUCACAUCUUCACUAGACGUGAUAAAUUGACCCCUGCUGGAUCGAUCGCUCUGGAGGUCCCACCAGUUGAUAAACACUGCUCUAAGGUCUCCAGGAGGUUCUCCAGCAAAACCAGAGAAGAGCAAACUUAGUAUUUCUGAUAUUUCUAAGUUAAAAAGCUGUUUGUGUCAGACAACAUGCUUGCUGCACAGAAGUCCCACUGGAAUGAAAGACACACCUGUCUGCAGCAGAGGCUGAGCAAAGAACAAGAGAUCAGUGUUCCCAGGCUGCAGAGCUGCUCAAUGUCCUAUCCUGAUCCUGUCCCUCUGUACAGCCCAACAGCCCACUGACACCUUGCAGAUCACUGAGACCACUUGGACACUGUAGUCCUUGAAACAGAGUAACCCAGUUUGUAGACGCAACAUGUCUUCCAGUAAAAGCUUGAAUUGGCUCAUUUUU